CCUACGGGUGGCAGCAGUAGGGAAUCUUCCACAAUGGGCGAAAGCCUGAUGGAGCAACGCCGCGUGGGUGAAGAAGGUCUUCGGAUCGUAAAACUCUGUUGUUAGAGAAGAAAGUGCGUGAGAGUAACUGUUCACGUUUCGACGGUAUCUAACCAGAAAGCCACGGCUAACUACGUGCCAGCAGCCGCGGUAAUACGUAGGUGGCAAGCGUUAUCCGGAUUUAUUGGGCGUAAAGGGAACGCAGGCGGUCUUUUAAGUCUGAUGUGAAAGCCUUCGGCUUAACCGGAGUAGUGCAUUGGAAACUGGGAGACUUGAGUGCAGAAGAGGAGAGUGGAACUCCAUGUGUAGCGGUGAAAUGCGUAGAGAUAUGGAAGAACACCAGAGGCGAAGGCGGCUCUCUGGUCUGUAACUGACGCUGAGGUUCGAAAGCGUGGGUAGCAAACAGGAUUAGAUACCCGGGUAGUC
rnacentral:rRNA from 1 species